rnacentral:rRNA from 1 species
GAAUUUAAAAAAAAUACUGAAAGCACCAGUUCUUGCCCCAUCAAUGCCGAUCACUGAAGUUAAGCAUUAUUGAGCAUGGUCAAUACUUAGAUGGGUCACCGCUUGGAAACAUCACGUAUUGUUGGCA